CUGCCCGUUGUCUAAUGGUUAUGACCUCAGACUUCUAUGUUCAGAAUCCAUCCAUAUUCACAUAUAAUCUGGAGGUUGCGAGUUCGACCCUCGCCGGGGGUU